GGGAAGCUGGUGGAAUUCCAGCACGGUCGCGCCACUGUGACCCGCCGCCGCAACCGGCGUAACGGGGAGUCAGACAGCC
rnacentral:misc_RNA from 1 species